GGCUACUGUGCUUUCGGCAUGCUUUGCUGGAUGGAUGAGACCUGGCAUUCCCAAUUAGGGCACUUGCACAAAGCGCCGGCCCGGCUGUGGCAUUGCCAUGCAGCCCAGCUCCACAGCGCAGGCUCCGCUGGCAGCUCCAAGGAAGCGCACGUGGCGAUUUCUGUACAGUGCCAUAUGGAAAGGAUGUGGAAGGACAACUGGUUUCUCCCAGGCUUGUGAGGAGCUGCCGUCAGAAAGCAACAAUUCAAAAUGGAAGGACACAUCUUUUGCACCUGGCACUUCAGGCAAACAGCAGCUGAAAGAGAACUCUGUAACAUGUCCAUAAUAGGCUGCUCCCCUGCCUUCAGGAGCAAGUGGCCAUUUCAAUGGCUGCAGAUGUUUGUGCAAGAAUGGACACUGCUCGGUACCAUUCUCUGCUAAUGCCGGAGUCCUUGUAGUCAGCAGCUUGAGCUCUUUAAUUCAUGAUACAGUCUUUUUGCUAAAAGGUCUCAAGGAAACACCGAUAGCUUCUGCUUCAGAUGUUCUCUGCUGAGUGUGCAAGGGAUGUGUUGGUUUAAAAGGUCACAUUGAUGUCCUACAUUUACUUACAGUAAAGGCCUUCAUUGUAUUUUUUCUGAUUCUGCCUGCCUGAAUGGAUAUGCAUGUUAGCUGUGUAGCUUGCUGAAUUCUGAACGUAGAAAAAAACCCCAAGUAUGUUAUAACUGGUUCUCAUUAAACUGCUAAAUGGAAUACUAAAAGGUAGCUUAAAAUCAGGUGCAUUUAAUAAAGUUAUAUUUGAAUUGGCACACGCAUGGGUCCCAUGUGUUUUCCAGUUUGCUAGUGUUGCAAGUUUAUCAUGUGUAUUA